rnacentral:rRNA from 1 species
CCUACGGGUGGUAGCAGUGAGGAAUAUUGGUCAAUGGGCGGGAGCCUGAACCAGCCAAGCCGCGUGAGGGAAGAAGGUACAGCGUAUCGUAAACCUCUUUUGUCAGGGAACAAAGGCGGGGACUAGUCCCCGGAUGAGGGUACCUGAACAAACAGCAUCGGCUAACUCCGUGCCAGCCGCCGCGGUAAUACGGAGGAUGCGAGCGUUAUCCGGAUUUAUUGGGUUUAAAGGGUGCGCAGGGGGCCCGUUAAGUCAGCGGUAAACGCCCGGGGCCCAACCCCGGCGAGCCGUUGAAACUGGCGGGCUGGAGUGGGAAAGAAGUACGCGGAAUGCGCGGUGUAGCGGUGAAAUGCUUAGAUAUCGCGAAGAACCCCGGUUGCGAAGGCAGCGUACCGGCUCCAAACUGACGCUGAGGCACGAAAGCGUGGGUAGCGAACAGGAUUAGAUACCCGUGUAGUC